AACACAUGCAAGGUCGAGGGGCGAGCGGGUCGUAGCGAAUAGAUGCCGGCGACCGGCGAAAGGGUGAGUAACGCGUGAGCAACAUGCCCGAUACUGGGGGAUAGUCAUUAGAAAUGAUGCGUAAUACCCCGUAACACAUUGUCCCGCAUGAGAUGAUGUUGAAAGAUUGAUUGGUAUCGGAUUGGCUCGCGUGCCAUUAGCUAGAUGGCGGGGUAACGGCCCACCAUGGCGACGAUGGCUAGGGGGUUCUGAGAGGAAGGUCCCCACAUUGGAACUGAGACACGGUCCAGACUCCUACGGGAGGCAGCAGUGAGGAAUAUUGGACAAUGGCCGGAAGGCUGAUCCAGCCAUGCCGCGUGCGGGAAGACGGCCCUAUGGGUUGUAAACCGCUUUUGCGGGGGAGCAAUAAGAUCUACGUGUAGGUCGAUGAGAGUACCCUGCGAAUAAGCAUCGGCUAACUCCGUGCC
rnacentral:rRNA from 1 species